rnacentral:rRNA from 1 species
UACGUAGGGUGCGAGCGUUAAUCGGAAUUACUGGGCGUAAAGCGUGCGCAGGCGGCUUUGCAAGACAGAUGUGAAAUCCCCGGGCUCAACCUGGGAACUGCAUUUGUGACUGCAAGGGUAGAGUACGGCAGAGGGGGAUGGAAUUCCGCGUGUAGCAGUGAAAUGCGUAGAUAUGCGGAGGAACACCAAUGGCGAAGGCAAUCCCCUGGGCCUGUACUGACGCUCAUGCACGAAAGCGUGGGGAGCAAACAGG